ACUCGAGUGGCGAACGGGUGAGUAACACGUGGGCGAUCUGCCCUGCACUUCGGGAUAAGCCUGGGAAACUGGGUCUAAUACCGGAUAGGACCACGGGAUUCAUGUCCUGUGGUGGAAAGCUUUUGCGGUGUGGGAUGGGCCCGCGGCCUAUCAGCUUGUUGGUGGGGUAACGGCCUACCAAGGCGACGACGGGUAGCCGGCCUGAGAGGGUGUCCGGCCACACUGGGACUGAGAUACGGCCCAGACUCCUACGGGAGGCAGCAGUGGGGAAUAUUGCACAAUGGGCGCAAGCCUGAUGCAGCGACGCCGCGUGGGGGAUGACGGCCUUCGGGUUGUAAACCUCUUUCACCAUCGACGAAGGUUCGGGUUUUCUCGGAUUGACGGUAGGUGGAGAAGAAGCACCGGCCAACUACGUGCCAGCAGCCGCGGUAAUACGUAGGGUGCGAGCGUUGUCCGGAAUUACUG
rnacentral:rRNA from 1 species